UUUUAUACGACCGCAAAAAAAAUUUUGUGGUCGUAUAUUGGUAUGACGUUGGCGUCGUCUUCGUCGUCGUCGUCUGGCGUCGUCCGGCGUCGUCCGAAGACACAUUGGUUUUCGCACUCUAACUUUAGUUAAAGUGAAUGGAUCUCUAUGAAAUUUUACCACAAGGUUCAAUACCACAAAAGGAAGGUUGGGAUUGAUUUUGGGGGUUAUGGUACCAACAGUAAAGGAAUUAGGGGCCAAAAAGGGGCCAAAAAUAAGCAUUUUUGUAACUCCCAGACAUAACUUGUGUGUUAGUGUAUGGAUAUCUCUGACAUUGUACCACAAGGUUCCAUAUUACAAAAGGAAUGCUGGGAUUGAUUUUGGGGGUAAUUGCCUCAAAAUUUUAGGAAUUAGGGGCCAAAAAAGGGGCAAAAAACAAGCAUUUUUCUAGUUUCAUGACAAUAACUUGUGUGUAAGUGUAUGGAUCUUUCUGAAAUUGUACUACAAGGUUCCAUAUCACAAAGGGAAAGCUGGAAUUGAGUUUGGGGGUAAUUGCCGAAACGUUUAGGAAUUGGGGGCCAAAAAAGGGGCCAAAAAUAAGCAUUUUUCUAGUUUCCAGACAAUAACUUGUGUUCAAGUGUAUGGAUCUCUCUGAAAUUGUACUGCAAGGUACCAUACCACAAAGGGAAGGCUGGGAUUGAGUUUGGGGGUGAUAAAUCAUAAGGGGGUUCAAAAAAUUUGGGGGGGGGGGGGGGGGGGGGUUUUUUCCUUUU